AACGAACGCUGGCGGCGUGGAUAAGACAUGCAAGUCGAGCGGGACAUUUCGGGUAGCAAUAUUCGGAAUGUUUAGCGGCGCAAGGGUGCGUAACACGUGGGCAAUUUGCCAUGAAGCUGGGGAUAACUCCGGGAAACCGGAGCUAAUACCGAAUGUGAUCAUUUUUGGGCAUCCAGAGAUGUUUAAAGCUGGGGACCGUAAGGCCUGGCACUUCAUGAUGAGCCCGCGGCCUAUCAGCUAGUUGGCGGGGUAACGGCCCACCAAGGCUAAGACGGGUAGCUGGUCUGAGAGGACGACCAGCCACACUGGAACUGAGACACGGUCCAGACACCUACGGGUGGCAGCAGUCGAGAAUUUUUCACAAUGGGCGCAAGCCUGAUGGAGCGACGCCGCGUGGGGGAUGAAGGGCUUCGGCUCGUAAACCCCUGUCAGUUGCGAACAAUGUGCACUCAAUAACACUGGGUGCGCUGAUAGUAGUGACAGAGGAAGGGACGGCUAACUCUGUGC
rnacentral:rRNA from 1 species